rnacentral:rRNA from 1 species
UACGUAGGGGGCAAGCGUUGUCCGGAAUCAUUGGGCGUAAAGCGCGUGUAGGCGGCUAGGUAAGUCUGCUCUGAAAGCCCGGGGCUCAACCCCGGGAGGCGGGUGGAUACUGUCUAGCUCGAGUCCGGAAGAGGAGUGUGGAAUUCCUGGUGUAGCGGUGAAAUGCGUUGAUAUCAUCAGGAACACCAGUGGCGAAAGCGGCUUCUGGGUCUCUUCUGACGCUGAGGCGCGAAAGCGUGGGGAGCGAACCGG